UGCUGACUAGCCGGUGAAAGGGCGUCCCUCUCCAACCUGCUUGGAGUGUCCCUGACUACCAGCUUCGUGUUCAAUGUGGCUAAGGGUACCACGAGUGUGGAUGAACACUCGGUAACACAAGGGCGGACUCCGUGAUUCUGGGUGAACAGUAUCAUGGCGGAAAGAGGAGGAAGUGUCCCUGACUACCAGCAUCGUGUGUGGUGGAUGAACACUCGGUAACACAAGGGCGGACUCCGUGGCUCUGGGUGAAUAGUAUCAUGGCGGAAAGAGGAGGUGCGGAUAUGGAUAUGAGAAGACUACUUGGAUGUCUGUAUAACACGUGGCGGCAGUAGUGGUGGUGUCAGUAAGUGUAGCAGUUCAUUAUGUUAUGGUGUUGAAGAAAGAUGUAAGAGACGUAAAAUGAGAGAGAAA